CAGCAGCCGCGGGAAUACGUAGGGUGCAAGCGUUAAUCGGAAUUACUGGGCGUAAAGCGUGCGCAGGCGGUUUGUUAAGACAGAUGUGAAAUCCCCGGGCUCAACCUGGGAACUGCAUUUGUGACUGGCAAGCUAGAGUGUGGCAGAGGGGGGUGGAAUUCCGCGUGUAGCAGUGAAAUGCGUAGAUAUGCGGAGGAACACCGAUGGCGAAGGCAGCCCCCUGGGCCAACACUGACGCUGAGGCACGAAAGCGUGGGGAGCAAACAGGAUUAGAUACCCCAGUAGUCCCUGUCUCUUAUAA
rnacentral:rRNA from 1 species